rnacentral:rRNA from 1 species
CGUGUAGGCGGUCAGGUAAGUGGAAUGUGAAAUGCCCCGGCUCACCCGGGGACCGGCAUCCCAAAACUGCCUGGCUUGAGUAUGGGAGAGGAUGGAGGAAUUCCUGGUGUAGCGGUGAAAUGCGUAGAUAUCAGGAGGAACACCGGUGGCGAAGGCGUCCAUCUGGCCCAAUACUGACGCUGAGGCGCGAAAGCUAGGGGAGCAAACG